rnacentral:rRNA from 1 species
CCUGUUUACCAAAAACAUCACCUCUAGCAUUACAAGUAUUAGAGGCACUGCCUGCCCAGUGACUAAAGUUUAACGGCCGCGGUAUCCUGACCGUGCAAAGGUAGCAUAAUCACUUGUUCCUUAAUUAGGGACUAGCAUGAACGGCUAAACGAGGGUCCAACUGUCUCUUAUCUUUAAUCAGUGAAAUUGACCUUUCAGUGAAGAGGCUGAAAUAUACAUAAUAAGACGAGAAGACCCUAUGGA